AUUGAACGCUGGCGGCAGGCCUAACACAUGCAAGUCGAACGGUAACAGGAAGCAGCUUGCUGCUUUGCUGACGAGUGGCGGACGGGUGAGUAAUGUCUGGGAAACUGCCUGAUGGAGGGGGAUAACUACUGGAAACGGUAGCUAAUACCGCAUAACGUCGCAAGACCAAAGAGGGGGACCUUAGGGCCUCUUGCCAUCGGAUGUGCCCAGAUGGGAUUAGCUAGUAGGUGGGGUAACGGCUCACCUAGGCGACGAUCCCUAGCUGGUCUGAGAGGAUGACCAGCCACACUGGACCUGAGACACGGUCCAGACUCCUACGGGAGGCAGCAGUGGGGAAUAUUGCACAAUGGGCGCAAGCCUGAUGCAGCCAUGCCGCGUGUAUGAAGAAGGCCUUCGGGUUGUAAAGUACUUUCAGCGGGGAGGAAGGGAGUAAAGUUAAUACCUUUGCUCAUUGACGUUACCCGCAGAAGAAGCACCGGCUAACUCCGUG
rnacentral:rRNA from 1 species